rnacentral:lncRNA from 1 species
GCACCGUGACCACAGGACAGAGGACACCCCCCUCCUUCUAGCGCCACAUGAUAACGCCAAUCUCCGAUCCCGGUCCUUCCUCCGCCGUGACUGGUGGUUUCGUGGUGUAGCUGCUGGAUGGGAGCCUACAAAACAACGCCGGCGGGGGGGUUUGGCCCCAAAGCGCCUCCGGCGUGAGAGUAAGCGUAGGUUUCGGAAGGGUAAAGAUAAGAGAAAGUGUUAUCUAUGUGUGGUGGGUGAAGGUGUAUGUGUGGUGGUUGCUGGUGGCUGGUGGCUGAGAGUGUUUGAAUAUAUGCUGAGUGCUUAAGUGUGUGUAGAGAAUGAGUAUGGAGAGUGAAGUUA